rnacentral:tRNA from 2 species
GGGCUGAUAGAUCAGCUUGGAAGAUCGCUACCUUCGCAAGGUAGAGGCCGCGGGUUCAAAUCCCGCUCAGUCCA